rnacentral:lncRNA from 1 species
GCAGAGUCCCGGGAGGGUCACUCCUGAUACGAACUUCGACUGGGGGGUAUUUUAUACCCAACACCAGUCCCCCUAUUUUCGAGUUCGAGUUUCAAAUGAAGGAAGUAUAGAGAAAUUUUCACAUCCGAAGUUGCUCCCUUGAAUCUCGUGCACGAUCACCCUCAGAUAUCCUGGCAUUUAAUGCACGCACGUUGGAGUCUUUUUAAAUCAGGGCG